rnacentral:tRNA from 1 species
GGGGGAUUAGCUCAGUUGGGAGAGCGCCUGCCUUGCAAGCAGGAGGUCACGAGUUCGAAUCUCGUAU